UGGGCAACCUGCCCUCAGCUCUGGGACAACUCCGGGAAACCGGGGCUAAUACCGGAUACGACCUUCCCUCGCAUGGGGGUUGGUGGAAAGUUCUUCGGCUGAGGAUGGGCCCGCGGCCUAUCAGCUAGUUGGUGUGGGUAAUAGCUCACCAAGGCGAUGACGGGUAGCCGGCCUGAGAGGGUGACCGGCCACACUGGGACUGAGACACGGCCCAGACUCCUACGGGAGGCA
rnacentral:rRNA from 1 species